ACUCAACGAAGUUUACAUUAAAAGAGGUGAUUUGCCGUUGUAAGAGCAAGCUGUUUUGUACAGAUCCUCGAUCAGUGGGGUAGCCUCAAACCUGUCUAAUUAAGGGUUU
rnacentral:sRNA from 10 species